CGAACGGGUGAGUAACACGUGAGUAACCUGCCCCGAAGACUGGGAUAACGACCGGAAACGGUCGCUAAUACCGGAUACCCCCAUUGGAUCGCAUGGUCCGAUGAGGAAAUGAAUUUCGCUUCGGGAGGGGCUCGCGGGCUAUCAGCUUGUUGGUGGGGGUAAUGGCCCACCAAGGCUGCAACGGCUAGCUGGUCUGAGAGGACGACCAGCCACACUGGGACUGAGACACGGCCCAG
rnacentral:rRNA from 1 species